rnacentral:rRNA from 1 species
AUUGAACGCUGGCGGCAGGCCUAACACAUGCAAGUCGAGCGGAUGAAGGGAGCUUGCUCCUGGAUUCAGCGGCGGACGGGUGAGUAAUGCCUAGGAAUCUGCCUGGUAGUGGGGGAUAACGUCCGGAAACGGGCGCUAAUACCGCAUACGUCCUGAGGGAGAAAGUGGGGGAUCUUCGGACCUCACGCUAUCAGAUGAGCCUAGGUCGGAUUAGCUAGUUGGUGGGGUAAAGGCCUACCAAGGCGACGAUCCGUAACUGGUCUGAGAGGAUGAUCAGUCACACUGGAACUGAGACACGGUCCAGACUCCUACGGGAGGCAGCAGUGGGGAAUAUUGGACAAAGGGCGAAAGCCUGAUCCAGCCAUGCCGCGUGUGUGAAGAAGGUCUUCGGAUUGUAAAGCACUUUAAGUUGGGAGAAAGGGCAGUAAGUUAAUACCUUGCUGUUUUGACGUUACCAACAGAAUAAGCACCGGCUAACUUCGUG